rnacentral:misc_RNA from 1 species
GUACCCAACGUUUGAUCAUCCGUCUUAUUUAAAAAAAUUAUAAAUUUUUUUUUAAAAGUUAAGUCAAACAUAAAUUACUAUUAAUAUUCUACCAUCUUAUAACAAUGAAAAUACUAAUCAUAAAAAAUAUUUUAAAUAAGACGGAUUGUUAAAGUUAGAG